UACUUAGGGGGCUAGCGUUGUCCGGAAUCAUUGGGCGUAAAGCGCGUGUAGGCGGCCCGGUAAGUCCGCUGUGAAAGUCGGGGGCUCAACCCUCGGAUGCCGGUGGAUACUGUCGGGCUUGAGUACGGAAGAGGCGAGUGGAAUUCCUGGUGUAGCGGUGAAAUGCGCAGAUAUCAGGAGGAACACCUAUUGCGAAGGCAGCUCGCUGGGACGUGACCGACGCUGAGACGCGAAAGCGUGGGGAGCAAACAGG
rnacentral:rRNA from 1 species